rnacentral:lncRNA from 1 species
CCGGCAGAAAGUGGCAGGAAAACUCAGCCCAUUCCAAGCAGCCUGGUGCUCCAGUGGUAAGGGAGCCGCCACCAGAACCACCAGCCCCAGCACCCCUCCUUUCCGGGACCCCAGAGGAACCUCAGAAUGGGUACCAUCCAUGGGGGAUUGGGUACCCACUGUAAGGCCAACAGGGGCCGGUUUUAAGGGCUACCAUUCUUACCGUCCGCCAGGUGCACAAGUUCACAAUCAUCCCAGGCUCCUUCUUCAUCAUCGUGCCCUCCAUCCAAUCAUUCAAGUCAAGUACCAGCCGCCGCCACCGCCAUCAAUUCUGCUUCCUCAACAUCUCUCACAAGGGUAAUCUCUCCGUUCACAGGAGCAUCAUCCUAGUUCACACAAUAAUCAUCUCUUGACUAGAUUGCUCUAAUAUCCUUCUAAUUAGGGUCUUUAUCUCUCUUGAUUCUCCCAAUUAUUUGUGCCCUCCCACCCAAGUGGGAGUGGGAGUGUGUGUGUGUGCACACACACGCACGGAGAGAUACCAUGUGUACACACAGAGCUACACAAUAUGUAUAUAGAUGUACAAAUAGAAGCAGUUUGCUUUUGAUUGAUUCCUUCAUCUGAGAUACCUGGUCCUUCUCUAAUUUACACAGAAACCCAGUAAUUCCAUGUACAAAUCA